rnacentral:rRNA from 1 species
CGUACACUCCUGCGGGAGGCAGCAGUGGGGAAUUUUGGACAAUGGGCGAAAGCCUGAUCCAGCCAUGCCGCGUGCAGGAUGAAGGCCUUCGGGUUGUAAACUGCUUUUGUACGGAACGAAACGGCCUUUUCUAAUAAAGAGGGCUAAUGACGGUACCGUAAGAAUAAGCACCGGCUAACUACGUGCCAGCAGCCGCGGUAAUACGUAGGGUGCAAGCGUUAAUCGGAAUUACUGGGCGUAAAGCGUGCGCAGGCGGUUAUGUAAGACAGUUGUGAAAUCCCCGGGCUCAACCUGGGAACUGCAUCUGUGACUGCAUAGCUAGAGUACGGUAGAGGGGGAUGGAAUUCCGCGUGUAGCAGUGAAAUGCGUAGAUAUGCGGAGGAACACCGAUGGCGAAGGCAAUCCCCUGGACCUGUACUGACGCUCAUGCACGAAAGCGUGGGGAGCAAACAGGAUUAGAAACCCGAGUAGUCCCAU